CAACUAAUAAAAUCAUACUUUGCCUCACGAAUGCAAUAAUGCCAUGCUAUAUGCGAAUCAUGCAACUAUACAAGUAGAAUAAAUGAUUUUACUUUCUAUCAUGCUAUCCAUAGCUUUUUCAUAAUUUAUACAUCUUGUCACUUUACAUCAUUGGUUAUUUGCUCCUAAGGUUUUCCUCUACCUUAGCCAAGCUAACCACCCGACUCGGUCUCGAGUCAAUCAUCUGCGGAAUACCGCAUACAUCCAAGCUCAUAAUGCAUACUUUCACACAUUCACUUUGGCCUUUACCCAAUCUUUCCGGGGUUCAUCAAGUUCGCCCCAAGCUCACAUCUCACAUGUCCCAUCUACCGGGAUUAGCAUUAGGAAAUGCCCCCGAGGGAUCCAUCCCGUCUACCGGGGAAGGCACAAGGCACUGUCACCCGAGGGAUCUUCGCCGGGCACUCUCACCCGUGGUGUCUAUACUCCGGAGUACACCGCCUGUAGAGGAGCGACCUCGCACAAGCCGGAACCGAUACAUGUGAGUACGAUCCCAUCCUCAAUUUGAGGAGGUAUAGCCAACCUGUUCCAUAUCUCUAUGCCUCAAUGCCAAUGAUAGGUUUUUACCUAAUCAUGCAUAUACCGCUAAUACCAAGCCACAAUGUCACUUUGGGUUAAACUUUGUUUAACUACUUUCUUUAACACUAGGUUCAUGUCCAACCUAUGUUCUUUAACGCUAGAUUAAAUGCCACGCAUGAUUCCAACCUAUGUUCUUUAACACUAGGUUCAAUGCCACUUGAUGUCCAACCUAUGUAUAUUCACACUAGGUUCAUAUGUCCUUCAUGUCCGACCUAGGUUUACUAACACUAGGUUCAUAUCAUUCAUAUUCAACCUAUGUUCAAGACACUAGGUUUAAUGCCACUCGAUCUAAUGUAUAUAGAUUGUCCAAAUGCACAUUAUACUAGUUUUCCAAUAUCGAGUUCUCUAAUCAAUCUAGAGUUAUCGACCCCAAGUAUAAUAUGUAAAUGUCAACUAAUAUAAUCCUCUAUAUGUCAACAUGCAUAUAUACCACUAGCAUCACAUGAUAUGUCCUUUACUUAGCAUUCUUAUUUUAGCAUCCCUAAAACAU
rnacentral:lncRNA from 1 species